GACGAACGCUGGCGGCGUGCCUAAUACAUGCAAGUCGAACGCACUCUCGUUUAGAUUGAAGGAGUUUGCUCCUGAUUGAUCAACAUUUGAGUGAGUGGCGGACGGGUGAGUAACACGUGGGUAACCUGCCCUAAAGUGGGGGAUAACAUUUGGAAACAGAUGCUAAUACCGCAUAAAACCUAACACCGCAUGGUGUAGGGUUGAAAGAUGGUUUCGGCUAUCACUUUAGGAUGGACCCGCGGUGCAUUAGUUAGUUGGUGAGGUAAAGGCUCACCAAGACCGUGAUGCAUAGCCGACCUGAGAGGGUAAUCGGCCACACUGGGACUGAGACACGGCCCAGACUCCUACGGGAGGCAGCAGUAGGGAAUCUUCCACAAUGGACGAAAGUCUGAUGGAGCAACGCCGCGUGAGUGAAGAAGGUGUUCGGAUCGUAAAACUCUGUUGUUGGAGAAGAAUGUAUCUGAUAGUAACUGAUCAGGUAGUGACGGUAUCCAACCAGAAAGCCACGGCUAACUACGUG
rnacentral:rRNA from 1 species